rnacentral:rRNA from 1 species
UGGGGAAUUUUGGACAAUGGGCGAAAGCCUGAUCCAGCAAUGCCGCGUGUGUGAAGAAGGCCUUCGGGUUGUAAAGCACUUUUGUCCGGAAAGAAAUCCUUGGCUCUAAUACAGUCGGGGGAUGACGGUACCGGAAGAAUAAGCACCGGCUAACUACGUGCCAGCAGCCGCGGUAAUACGUAGGGUGCAAGCGUUAAUCGGAAUUACUGGGCGUAAAGCGUGCGCAGGCGGUUUGCUAAGACCGAUGUGAAAUCCCCGGGCUCAACCUGGGAACUGCAUUGGUGACUGGCAGGCUAGAGUAUGGCAGAGGGGGGUAGAAUUCCACGUGUAGCAGUGAAAUGCGUAGAGAUGUGGAGGAAUACCGAUGGCGAAGGCAGCCCCUGGGCCAAUACUGACGCUCAUGCACGAAAGCGUGGGGAGCAAACAGGAUUCAGAUACCCUGGUAGUCCACGCCCUAAACGAUGUCAACUAGUUGUUGGGGAUUCAUUUCCUUAGUAACGUAGCUAACGCGUGAAGUUGACCGCCUGGGGAGUACGGUCGCAAGAUUAAAACUCAAAUGAAUUGACGGGG